AAUGAACGCUGGCGGCAUGCCUAACACAUGCAAGUCGAACGAACCCUUCGGGUCUUUGGUCGCAUGGGUUCGUAACGCGUGGGGACCUGCCCUUAGGUUUGGCAUAACUCUCCGACUGGGGUGCUUAUGCGGGAUAAUGUCUACUGCCCGAUGUUUUAUCGCCUUUGGAUGUGCCCGCGUUGGAUUAGCUAGUUAGUAGGGUAAAAGCAUCUCAAGGCGACGAUGAAUAACUGGUUUGAGAGGAUGAUCAGCCACACUGGGACUGAGAAGCGGCCGAGAAUCCUACGGGAGGCAGCAGUGGGGAAUAUUGGAAAAUCGGCGAAGGGAUGAACCAGCAAUGACGGGAGAGUGAUGAAGGCAUGAGGGUUGUAAAGCUCAUGUACCCGGGAUGAUAAUGACAGUACCGAAAGAAUAAGCUCCGGCUAACUCCGUG
rnacentral:rRNA from 1 species